UACGGGGGGGGCAAGCGUUGUUCGGAAUUACUGGGCGUAAAGGGCUCGUAGGCGGCCAACUAAGUCAGACGUGAAAUCCCUCGGCUUAACCGGGGAACUGCGUCUGAUACUGGAUGGCUUGAGUGUGGGAGAGGAAUGCGGAAUUCCAGGUGUAGCGGUGAAAUGCGCAGAUAUCAGGAGGAACACCAAUUGCGAAGGCAGCUCGCUGGGACGUUACUGACGCUGAUGCGCGAAAGCGUGGGGAGCAAACAGG
rnacentral:rRNA from 1 species